rnacentral:lncRNA from 1 species
GGCUUCAUUAUGAGUGUGUGUGUUGCCCGUCUGUCUCUCGCCCUAGCAGAGACACGGAGUGCUGGGUCUGACCGUGCAUGUCUCACUAAUGCAAACCUGAGACAAAACCUUCAUCACAUGUCCUCGGUGCAGGCUGCAAGCCUACAGAAGCGAGGUUAGGCGUGGGACAGGCAGCGUCACAAGUGCAGGCACACAUCCUUGAGUCACUGGUAUUUGCAUACAUGGACAGACACGAGGGAUGAGCACACUCCAAACUGAGUGGCUAACUGAAAUGGGAAGUGUGGGUGCAAUGCUAAGCAAUGGAAAUGGGCAGGACUGUUUAUGGCUACAUAAACAUUGAUGUGUUUGCUUACUUACAGCUAAUAAAUUAAUGUUACCACUGAGACCAGUGACCUGUUUGUGAAACACUCCAAGCCUGAAAAUCAAGCUUUUUCAAGAGAAAGAAGUUGUUGCAGAUCUGUCAGCAAGGCUCUGGGAGUAGGAGGAUGUUUGGAUUUCCGGCAUAUUGCAACAGAGUUCUUGGCCACGAGCAAAGCUAUGUGUGUGAAUCUCAUUUUAUAUCCGUUGUUUGCAAUACCA